rnacentral:rRNA from 1 species
AGUUCUCGAAAAUUAAAAAUUUUGGCGGUAUUUUAGUCUUUUUAGAGGAACCUGUUCUAUAAUUGAUAUUCCACGAUUAGUUUAACUUUUCUUUUUAAUUUAUAUAUCGUCGUGAGUUGAAUAUUUUAUCAGAAAUUUAAUGUUCAAGUUUUAAUAUAUUAAAAAAAUUCAGAUCAAGAUGUAAUUUAUAGGAAAGUAGAAAUGGGUUACAAUAAAAUUAUUUAUAUGGAUUAGAAAUUUAAAUUUUCUGUGAAAGUGGAUUUAAGUGUAAUUUUUAUAAUAUUUAUAAAAUGAUUAUAGCUCUAGAAUAUGC